rnacentral:rRNA from 1 species
GUAACGGGGAAUUAGGGUUCGAUUCCGGAGAGGGAGCCUGAGAAACGGCUACCACAUCUAAGGAAGGCAGCAGGCGCGCAAAUUACCCAAUCCUAAUACAGGGAGGUAGUGACAAGAAAUAACAAUACAGAGCCUUACGGUUUUGUAAUUGGAAUGAGUUAAGUAUAAACCCCUUAACAAGUAUCAAUUGGAGGGCAAGUCUGGUGCCAGCAGCCGCGGUAAUUCCAGCUCCAAUAGCGUAUAUUAAAGUUGUUGCAGUUAAAAAGCUCGUAGUUAAUUUUCUGUUAAUUUUUAUAUACAAUGCUACGGUAUUUAUAUAAUAUUAACAUAAUUCAUAUUACUUUUUAGUAUAUGAAACUUUACUUUGAGAAAAUUAGAGUGCUUAAAGCAGGCUAUUGCCUUGAAUACUCCAGCAUGGAAUAAUAUUAAGGAUUUUUAUUCUUCUUAUUG